CGCCGGAUGUCGUUUCCUAUGCUACGCCGACGGCGUUGGUCGCUCGUUCUGGCCCGACAGUGUUGCCCAGCUCGCAAGAGUCGGUGUCUUGUUGUCGGUCGUUGGUUCGUGGUGGCUAGCGUUUAGUUACGCUAGUGUGUGUGACGUCGGUGUGAAAGUCGACGACGUUUCCGACCCGUCUUGAAACACGGAUUGCGGAGUGCUUGUCUACUGCGAGUCAAAGGGUGUUAAAACCUUGCGGCGAAAUGAAAGUGAAGGUCAGUCUUGAAUUGGCCGACGUGGGAUCGGUGCUCCUCGGAGUGCUGCGCACCACGGCCCUGUGCGUGUCACUUGUGACUGUGCAGAGGUUGAGCAGUUGGCAAACGACCCGAAAGAUGGUGAACUAUGCCUGAGCAGGAUGAAGCCAGAGGAAACUCUGGUGGAAGUCCGUAUCGGUUCUGACGUGCAAAUCGAUCGAUAGACUUGGGUAUAGGGGCGAAAGACUAAUCGAACCAUCUAGUAGCUGGUUCCUUCCGAAGUUUCCCUCAGGAUAGCUGGAUCUCCGGCAGUUAUAUUCGGUAAAGCUAAUGAUUAGAGGCCUUGGGGACGUAAUGUCCUCAACCUAUUCUCAAACUUUCAAUGGAUAUGAAGUUGCAGUUUCUUUAGUGAACUGUCAACGUGAAUGCGAGGUCCAAGUGGGCCAUUUUUGGUAAGCAGAACUGGCGCUGUGGGAUGAACCAAACGUGGAGUUAAGGUGCCUAACUUCUCGCUCAUGAGACCCCAUAAAAGGUGUUGGUUGAUAUUGACAGCAGGACGGUGGCCAUGGAAGUCGGUAUCCGCUAAGGAGUGUGUAACAACUCACCUGCCGAAUCAACUAGCCCUGAAAAUGGAUGGCGCUUAAGCGAGAGACCUAUACUCCGCCGUUGCGGCAUGUGCGUUGUCUAGCGCCAGGCCGUAACGAGUAGGAAGGUCGUGGCGGUUGCUUUGAAGGCUAUGAGCGUGGGCUCGGCUGGAGCUUCCGUCAGUGCAGAUCGUAAUGGUAGUAGCAAAUAUUCAAGUUCGAUCCUUGAAGACUGAAGUGGAGAAGGGUUCCACGUGAACAGUAGUUGGAUGUGGGUCAGUCGAUCCUAAGGUACUGGCGAACGCCUUGUAUCAUCGGUGGCGAAAAGCUUGCUUUUGGUCCCCGUUUGUCGAAAGGGAAUAGGGUUAAUAUUCCCUAACUGAGAUGCAAAGAUUGUGUUCUUCGGAGCACAAGCGCGGUAACGCAUUCGAACUUGGUUAGUCGCUCAAAGACCGAGCUAGAGUUUUCUUCUCUAGUUAAGGAACGGACUCCCUGGAAUUGGUUCAGCCAGAGAUGGGGACGUUGUUUCCGAAAAGCACCGCGGUUUCUGUGGUGUCUCGUGCUCUUUGAACGGCCCUUAAAACACCAAGGGAGGCUAUUAAUUUGCACUCAAUCGUACCGAUAUCCGCAUUAGGUCUCCAAGGUGAACAGCCUCUAGUCGAUAGAAUAAUGUAGGUAAGGGAAGUCGGCAAACUAGAUCCGUAACUUCGGGAAAAGGAUUGGCUCCAGUGGUUGGAACGAUUGGCCAGUUGGUUGAUGCUUGUCCGGCGCUAUUCUGUCUGCUUGAUGCUUUCGGGCUGAUGGCGGACUAGUGAUAGUGCUUGCUUGUGGACGCUUUCUGGUGUGUGCUAGGACCUCGGUUCUAGUAUCCUGAUCGCUCAUCUAAACAACCGUACUGGAACCGGUACGGACUCAGGGAAUCCGACUGUCUAAUUAAAACAGAGGUGACAGAUGGUCCUUGCGGACGCUGACUGUCACUGAUUUCUGCCCAGUGCUCUGAAUGUUAAAUCGUAGUAAUUCGAGUAAGCGCGGGUAAACGGCGGGAGUAACUAUGACUCUCUUAAGGUAGCCAAAUGCCUCGUCAUUUAAUUGUUGACGCGCAUGAAUGGAUUAACGAGAUUCCUAAACGGAGUAAUCAGAAAUUGGUGGAGUUCAAAAACUCCGGAAAUUUUGA
rnacentral:rRNA from 1 species